UACAUCAUGUUGAAACACCUGUUCCCGUACGAUCACUGAAGUUAAGCUAUGUCGAGCCUGGUCAGUACCUGGAUCAGUGAUCGCUUGGUUAUAUCAGGUGCCGUAAG